AGAGUUUGAUCCUGGCUCAGGAUGAACGCUGGCGGUGCGCCUAAUGCAUGCAAGUCGAACGCUCCGAUGUUAUAUCGGAGAGUGGCAAACGGGUGAGUAACGCGUAGGAAUCUGCCCCAAACUAGGGAAUACCCAGCCGAAAGGUUGGCUAAUGCCCUAUAGUCCGGUAACGGUAAAGGUGUAAACCGGUUUGGGAGGAGCCUGCGUCCUAUCAGCUUGUUGGUGAGGUAAUGGCUUACCAAGGCAGUGACGGGUAGCUGGACUGAGAGGUUGACCAGCCACAAUGGGACUGAGACACGGCCCAUACUCCUACGGGAGGCAGCAGCAGGGAAUUUUGCGCAAUGGACGAAAGUCUGACGCAGCGACACCGCGUGGAGGAUUGAAGGCCCUAGGGUCGUAAACUCCUUUUAUCAGGGAAGAUUAUGACGGUACCUGAUGAAUAAGCACCGACUAAUUACGUG
rnacentral:rRNA from 1 species